UAAUUGUGUCUUUACAACUGCUUCCCCCUUAAGUCCCACUCGAUGUGUAAAAUGAAUUUCCAGUGAGAAAUGUGUCACCUCAGCUGCAUGAAGGUGGCCGACGCCACACGCGGCUGAAAGCUGAGUAUUUUUGCGUGGUCCAAGAUGUGGAGGGUGUGUGUGACUGCGCGGUUGUGUGUUUAGGAAAUGAGGGGGGCGUGUGUUGAGUUGUGAACACAGCCCUCACAGUGAAGCCUGAAGCAACAGCUGGAUCAGCAGUCCGCCUGUCCCUCCGUGCGGCGCAGCAGGAUGUUGCAAGAGGGGUCAUUACAUUAAGUCAGUCUAGUAGUGAAACGUUCAUGAUGCCUUCGCUGUCAGGGGUUGGAUGGACUGUUUUCUCGCUCCUUCUGCUCGGGAAGAGAACAGCAGCUCAAAGUGUGGAGGGGCGAUGCUCUGUGGCUGGUCCAGUGGGGGUGCUACACCCUGUUCAGGGUCUGCUGGAGAGGUUUGAGGCUGGUCCGGGCUGUGCUGCUAGAGAACGCGGGAACAAGGAAACACAUGUCAUUGCAGUGGGGAGAGUGACAAACAGCCCCGAAAACAAGGUGACGGUGUUGCUGAAGCCUUUGUCUCUGUCCCCCUCACCUCUCAGGGCCCUCCACCUGCUGCUCAGCUCCAAGCUCCCAGUCACCUGGUGGCUGGAGGCUGAGAGACUGCCACCCAACCUCCCAGUGCUGGUGCAGGUAUCCUCAAACUCCAGUGUACAGUCCCGCACCCUGCUUUUGCAUGUCCAAACAGUGCAUUCGCUACCGUUUCAUCCACAUGCGCUGCACCGCUGGGCUCUGAAACACCAUGGCAACCUGUCCUCUCUGACACACACAACACACGGCAAUCGAGUCUACGUCCUCCUGGGAGAGGAUCCAACCCUGCCUGCUGUGUGCCAUCUGCAGUCCAUGUUCCUCUCUCACAACUACAUGACCUCUGACCUGCAGCCACAGGAAGUGUGGGGCUGCGCCGGCGAGCCAGCAGGUGGGAUCAGCCCUGAAGUCCACGUGAUCAGGCUCCAUUCAGCGGGCUCAGGGCUCUGUGGCUCUCUCCAAGUGGAGGUGAUUGUCUCUCUUGUGCCCCUGGUGGCCAACUCAAAGACCCAGAAGGUUGUGCUGAUUCUCAGCAGCUCGGUGCCAGUCAACUGGGCCAUUGUUGCUCAUGGUGUCCGGGGUCAUAUCUCUGUUCAUUCCUCCAACAGUGUAUCCCCACCCUACCCACCUGAGCCUGACCUGACCCUGUCCAGUACACUAAACUCUGACCUGUCAACCAUAUCUGACCUUCUUGUGUGGGCCAGUGAGAGCGGCUACACCAAGGUGACCUCAUACACUGAGGCUGACCUGGCCAAUCGCUUUGUGAUCCAGCUGGCUGGGGGCGGGACAGACAUGGUUGCAGUGAUGAAUCCUCUGGUUGUGAGGCUUCCCUGGGCUGAGGAGCACAGGCUGAGGCAGUGGCUGAAUGGUGGAGGCAGAGCAGGAGGAGGCCAAGAGAGUUUCGCAGUGCAGUGUGAGGACGGACGCCUCAGCGUGACCGUGGACCAACACAUCCUGCAGAGCUUGUCUGUUCCAGUGGCAGCCGUGACUCUACGAGACUGGACGUGCCAGGCUCAGUCCAAUGGGAGCCAUUUCCUGUUGGUGUUCCCAGUUAUUUCCUGUGGGACUGAGGGUCUGCUCCUGGGACAGUCCCGAAGGGUGCAGUACAAAAACAUGGUGUUAUUAUGGAGAGACGAGCCUCAGACCAUUCUGGCACUGAAUGAGACAGAAAACAAGUCCAAAAGUCCACUCAGCAUACAUUUCAGCUGUAUGGCUGCAGUCCCCACCCUCCCCGGCCCUGCCAACGGUGAUGAUGUCGAUGUUAACACUACUGAGGCAGGGCUGGUCCCGUGGGCACCCGAGGGUCCUUAUCCAGGACUGAGCCACCUACCAACACCCAGACACAGAUCUGGGCCUGUUCUUAUUUUGAAGCUUUUUGUCACUGAGAGCUACGAGCAGGAGCGGAUUGGCCCCUGUGUCAUCACUGCAGACCACCGUGUCUUUGUUGAGAUUUCAGCCAAAGGGCCCUUCGCAGAUGUCUUGGAGGUGAAGUCAUGUGUGAUCUCUCCUCUGUCAGACCCAAAAAAGUCCCGUUUCUGGACUGUCAUAAGCGACGGCUGUUCCUCAGACCCCUCACUGACCCUUGGUGCAAAGGCAAAAGUUGAAGAGGAAGAAGAGGCUGAAGGUGAUGGUGAACUGGAAGAGGAAAAGGAAGAGACAGAAGGUCUGGUAAAAGUCAGAACUUAUGACAGAGAUGGACAUGUCUCACUCCGACACAAAGUUGAAAGAAGAGCAGGAGAAGCACCAGAAAGGAGUAGCAAAAGUAUGGGAGCAGAGGAGGAGAUACAGCCCUUGAGAUUUAGUUUCAUCCUCCGGCCAGUUUAUAAUGACUCUAUGCAGUUCCUCCACUGCAGCCUUCGCCUUUGUGUCUCUGACUCGACAAGAGGGGAACCCAUGAAGGAAACCGUAAAGAGUGACUGUCAUGGUGGGCUACGUAUCCCUCCACUCGUAUCUAGAUCGCCCAGACAUCAGUGUGAGAUGAGAAACCUCUCCAGGCCCAUGGUGGUCACACAGCCCAUUAGCUCACUGGCACCCAAACUGCUGAGGCCCCCUGCUGGCCAGAGAACCAAGAGACUGAGUGUCUCCCCACGGGCCAGUCCAGACCCAGAGCACAGCCGCUCUGUGGUGCAGACAGGACCACUGAUGGGAAUUGUCUUCGUUGCCUUUGUGAUGGGUGUCAGUAUGAUGGGGGGGCUGUGGUGCAUCUAUUAUUACACAGCAGGAAAAUUUAGGUUUGGGGGAAUUUGGGGAUUUUUGGCUACUUAUCCAGAGUCAGACGAACACAUGCUGCUGUUUUAGCCAUGCUAGCAGCAUGACUCAGACGACAUGGAUGGCAAUGUCGGUCCACCACUUUGGUCCAGACUGAAAUGACUCAACAACUGUUGGAUGGGUUGCCAUGAAAUAUGGACCAUGCCCAGGAUCACUUGGAAGAGAAGGUCAUUUAACAGAUCAGGCUCAUGGAGUCCACAACAUCUGGAAUCCACCUUCACUGUCUGAUCAGUCCUCCAGCUCCGUGUAGAGGAUUUCCUCCUGCAAAUCUGAAAAAGAACUGGGACAGAGGUUCUAACAACUUACUUGUGUGUGUGUGUGUGUGUGUGUGAGCGAGCACAGCUGCCUGUGUGUGCAGAGCCGUGUUUGUGCAGUUCUCCUCGCGAGUGUCGUUCAUCGCUGUGCAGCAGAAAUGCGAGAGGACUGGAACCAUGUGAAUACAGUAGCACUUACUCAUCGCAGCAUUGUGACAAGUCAGAUGUUUGAUUCAAAGUGAAACAUUGUUAGAUUGAUUGUUUGAUGCUGCAGACAAGUCAUUUCAAAACUUGCAGCGAAUUGGCACAUGAAGAGGCCUUAUCUGGAUUCAACAGGAUCUAAACCUGGUUGGAGUGACUCAAACAGAAACCACAUCAUCGUCGCCUUUAGAGACAGAAUACAAGGUCAAAGAUUAAGAGGUUACUGUGUGUGCCUGUUCGAAGACUCAGUGUUUUACAGUCAUUUUCACUAUUUGUAACUGUGAAUCAGCUGGUUAUCAAAACUGCAUUUAUCUGUACGUGAAGUAUUUUGUUUAUGUUGGAAAAAAGAUGUAUUAAAUGAGCUAAGAGCCACGCUGAUUUGCUGUUUCACUCUCAAAUCACAUGCAACCCAAAUAAAACAAAGGAAGUUAA